UAGGGAGCAGUUAGACAGCUGGUCAGUUUUAAGCCCUCCUCAAGCGUGCUGUCAGGAUAACAACAUAUUCAAAUACUUCGAUUAGCAUUUCAAGGGACGGGGAAUGCUCUACCACUCAGAAAACCUCGGUGAGCCCUAAAACGCAAUUAAUGAGGAAACAGCAAUUGCCCGCAGCUGUUAUUCUGUUUAUGUGCAGAGGAGCAAUCACCUGUUGCAAAGGCAGCAAUAAUCCGGCCUGUUCUGUGGACACAUUUGACUAAUUUUGACUGUUUCAAACUGCGAUGCUUUGCUCUCCUUGAACUUGCUGCAAAAAAGCAGCUCUUGCAGUGACUGGAAUCAGCAUGAGCCAGAUUUGGUCCCAAAAGGCUGUUUUUCAAAAGCACGGGAGUUUCAAGAUCUUCUAAGAUGGAGAUAACAGCCAACUAAUUCUACAACUGGAAAAAGGCAUAUGACACACAAACUGGGCUUUGGGAGCAGCACUGAAAUAGUGCUGUUCAGAGAUCCUUCUGAGGCACCGUGGGAAUGGUGAUCUCUGUAUUAUUUUUCAUAAAUAUGGCUUCACAGUCCCUUACUGCUGCUGUAUAAACUGGAUAAGGAAACAGAUUUUUUUAAAUGUUGAAGCAUGCCACUGAUCCAUAGGAAAGAAAAAAAUGAGGGAUCUCCAUGAAUACUUACCCUCUUCUGGAAAGUAGGGAGAUUUUGCUAUGAAUCAGCUUCCAGAACUUGUGCUUGGCUUUGUUUUCAACUCUAGACAAAUUUAAUGAACAAGAAAAAGAUGAGAAGCAGCCAUUGUAAGCAACUUGUACAGAAAGCUAAAGACUAAGAUGGAUCUCGAUGGCUUUGGGAAGAUAGCAAAGGCUGACAUCUUCACCACUUCACCACGUUGAAGUGCAAUCCCCAUCACAUGCUGAAGGCAGAGCAGUGCUCAGAGGUGUCUCUUGGGUUUAGGACAAUUUCCUGAAGAUGCUAGGCCGUUUUUUUGCCCCUGGAGCUGACAAAUCUCUGGUCAGCUGAGGUACUUCGAGCAACUCUUUUUGCAGUACUUUUCCAUUGAUCCUCUGCCUAGGUGCAUAGUUCUGAUUUUGUCUGUGUCAUGGGAAGAUGUCAUCUUGAUCCCUCUGCAAGGCUUUCACAUACGAACAUUUUGUUUGAAGGGAAAGAGAAAGAAAAAAACGAGUGACAAAGAGCGGUUAAUCAGUAUUACUUGAGAUAUUUACAUUCAUGCUUGAAGAUGAGCAACAUGAUAUAUUUCCAUUCCCGUUCAUGUGGCUAAAAACUUUUAUGUAGUUGCUACAACUUACUGUUUAAAAAUGAAUAAUGACACACUAAGGCUUCUUAAUGGAUAUGAAUUAUCUAAAGAACAAAGGGUAAGAUUCUCUGGUUAUACUACUGGCUAAUCUGUAUGACUGUGGGGAUGGAUUCCCCUGAGCUCAAGGGACUUCUUUCAGGAUAAGGAAAGUUGAAAUAUGUGAUAACUAUCCUUCCAUCAUGGGGCAGAAGGGAUUGUGAGGGUGUAUGUACUUGAUGCAACAUGACAGCACUGGGCAAGGCAAGGACACGGGAGAAAAGCAAGUGGGUGGAAUCCUAGAAUACAUUUCCUUUGGAGGAGGUUUGUUUUGAUAGUGCUGGCCCCACCCGCUUGGCCAAACUUCCUGGGCUAGCUUCCUACUCCAUGUAAAUCACGGAGAACGGAGGCUCAUUCGUUUUAUUGGGACUGGGUCUAUUUAUAGCAUCUGAGGACUGCAUCCAGUGUUUAUGAUGAUGUAAGAGCAUGAAACAGAUAUAUCAGAAAGUUCUUUUUCCAGGCUUGUUUUUUUAAGUGCUCAACUGAAUAGAACUCGUAAAGGAUGAUUAAUAGUUAGUAAACAAGGGCUGUUUUGUCUUACGUGGCAGAAUGUUAGAAGUUAUUUUGCACAUUAGACAGCACCUGAAUUACUUAUUUUGUCUGCUAGUCAGGUCUCAGAAAAGUACUGCAAAUGUUCUCUCCCUCUCUCUCUCUCUCUCUCUCUCUCUCCCCUUUAAUGGUUUCCAUCUCUAUCUCCUUAUUUUUCCCGAGGCAGUUAUCAGUGCAUUUUUUCAGAUUUCCCAGGCAGAUACAUUAUCUUGUGAUACAGCCCAUGGUUGUGAAUGUCACAGCUUGCUGUUUGACGUGAUGUCUCCCUAAGAAGAUGCACCACCCUGGGGGGCAGGGGUGUGGUGAAGUGACUGUACCUUCCUCAGUAAUCAUACUUAAAUAAAACAACUUAAAAGUAUCUACAUGAUAUCCUGUA